AGAAUUCUAGUUAAAAUAUAACAUAUGCUUGUCAAGUAUAAAUUGCUUUUUAUAGCGAGUUCUA
rnacentral:tRNA from 1 species